rnacentral:lncRNA from 1 species
CAGGCUGCGUACAUCGAGGUGUGCUUAGCUGAUGAAUGCUAAUUGUCAAUGAGUUCACAACGCCAGUGUAAAAUACCUUACGCAAAUGUAAGAAUUCUCAGUGCAAGCAACACAUCAGAUUUAUCAACAGUUUGCAGUGCGGGUGUAAAAUACCUUAUGUUAAUGACAGAAUUCUUGGUGCACAUAAGACCACACCAACGUUUAUAGAACACAGAUGGGCUGUGGUUUUUCAGAUAUAUGUGAAAUCGUAAUUGUCCAGCCAUAUUAGAAACUGCAAGAUGGAGCAAUCCCUGAAAGUAAAAAAUAAAUGCUUUUCAUAUGAAUUCUGAAACACCCAAGCAUGGUCACCAACUUUUCGGUGCUGGAACAUCUGGCGUCCAUUGGUAGCAUGCUUCUUAAGGAAAAAAGAAAGAUUCCUACAAGAUCUUAGGAGAGAAGAGAUUUUUAGGUAAACAAGAAGGGCAUAUACUGAGCUCCAUCAGGAGGAGACCACCACAAACACUGCAACCUAUAAACUCAUCAGUUGGGAAUAGAAGGAUUGGAUGCAAGUUCCUGUCAAAACCAAAACGAAAUCCACGGAUUAAUGCUCAUGUAUCAUAUUGACUACCACAAGCAUACGGAUGGUGUGAAAAUGCAUUACCAGCAACCUAGAAUUGGUAUCAUUCAUCACAAUGAUCCUUUGAAUAAAUGUGUGAGAGCAAACACACCAUCAUCCGUAU